GCCUGGGUGGCUCAGUGGUUGAGUGUCUGCCUUUGGCUCGGAGCAUGACUGCAGAAUCCUGGGAUCGAGUCCCACAUCGGGCU
rnacentral:tRNA from 1 species